UACGUAGGGGGCAAGCGUUGUCCGGAUUUAUUGGGCGUAAAGAGCGUGUAGGCGGCCAGACAGGUCCGUUGUGAAAACUCGAGGCUCAACCUCGAGAUGUCGAUGGAAACCGUCUGGCUAGAGUCCGGAAGAGGAGUGUGGAAUUCCUGGUGUAGCGGUGAAAUGCGUAGAGAUGGGGGAGAACACUCGUGGCGAAGGCGGCCAGCUAGACCAGUUCUGACACUGAGGCGCGACAGCGUGGGGAGCAAACAGG
rnacentral:rRNA from 1 species